rnacentral:rRNA from 1 species
GACGAACGCUGGCGGCGUGCCUAAUACAUGCCAGUCGAACGCACAGUUUAUACCGUAGCUUGCUACACCAUAGACUGUGAGUUGCGAACGGGUGAGUAACGCGUAGGUAACCUGCCUGGUAGCGGGGGAUAACUAUUGGAAACGAUAGCUAAUACCGCAUAAUAUUGAUUAUUGCAUGAUAAUUAAUUGAAAGGUGCAAUUGCACCACUACCAGAUGGACCUGCGUUGUAUUAGCUAGUAGGUGAGGUAACGGCUCACCUAGGCGACGAUACAUAGCCGACCUGAGAGGGUGAUCGGCCACACUGGGACUGAGACACGGCCCAGACUCCUACGGGAGGCAGCAGUAGGGAAUCUUCGGCAAUGGACGAAAGUCUGACCGAGCAACGCCGCGUGAGUGAAGAAGGGUUUCGGAUCGUAAAGCUCUGUUGUAAGAGAAGAACGGGUGUGAGAGUGGAAAGUUCACACUGUGACGGUAGCUUACCAGAAAGGGACGGCUAACUACGUG